GCGAGUGUAGUUCAAUGGUAGAAUGAGAGCUUCCCAAGCUCUAUACAAGGGUUCGAUUCCCUUCACUCGCUCCA
rnacentral:tRNA from 1 species